rnacentral:rRNA from 2 species
CCCCUAGUAACGGCGAGUGAAGCGGGAAGAGCUCAAAUUUGUAAUCUGGCGGUCCACGGCCGUCCGAGUUGUAAUCUGGAGAAGCGUUUUCGAGCGUCGGCCCCGCGUACAAGUCCCCUGGAACGGGGCGUCGCAGAGGGUGAGAAUCCCGUCUCUGACGCGGUCCGGCCGGCGCGUUGCGAUGCGCUCUCGAAGAGUCGAGUUGUUUGGGAAUGCAGCUCAAAACGGGUGGUAAAUUCCAUCUAAAGCUAAAUACCGGCGAAAGACCGAUAGCGAACAAGUACCGUGAGGGAAAGAUGAAAAGCACUUUGGAAAGAGAGUCAAACAGUACGUGAAAUUGUUGAAAGGGAAACGCUUGAAGUCAGUCGCGUCUACCGGGACUCAGUCGCGCGUCCGCGCGCGACGCACUUCCCGCGUCAGGACGGGCCAGCGUCGAUUCCGGCCGUCGUAGGAAGCCGUCGGGAACGUGGCACCUCCGGGUGCGUUAUAGCCCGGCGGUAGGAUACGCGACGGCGGGGAUCGAGGGACGCAGCGCGCCCCUCCCAGGAGGGGCCGGGGUUCGCCCACGUAACGCGCUUAGGAUGCUGGCUUAAUGGCUUCAAGCGACCCGUCUUGAAACACGGACCAAGGAGUCUAACAUGCUCGCGAGUGUUCGGGUGGAAAACCCGUGCGCGUAAUGAAAGUGAAAGGUUGGGACCCUCUCUCCCUCGAGAGAGCGGGGCACCGACGCCCGGACUUGAGCUGCUGCGACGGUUCCGAGGCGGAGCGCGUAUGUUGGGACCCGAAAGAUGGUGAACUAUGCCUGAGUAGGGCGAAGCCAGAGGAAACUCUGGUGGAGGCUCGUAGCGAUUCUGACGUGCAAAUCGAUCGUCGAACUUGGGUAUAGGGGCGAAA